AACAACCCGCUUUAGCCUCGGAUUGGCCGCGGCCUGUCACGCGGCCCUCAGACCGAACAGAAUUGGAGGCUGUUCGCCCGCUGACCUCGCGGCGGCGUAGUCGCUGCCUGCGCGCGCGCGCUGGUAACCCCAGGUCACCUCUCCCUCGCGUCCCAACCCGUUGCAGGACGUAAGCCAAGGGGGGGCCCCGCGCAUUCACCGGGUUCCCCGCGCAGCACAGCGACUGCGAGGACGAGAGGGGCCUGAGGCUGCGGUGGCGAGCCCCAAGCCGUGCCCCGUGCGCCCCUGGGCCAGGCACGAUCAGGAUGGGAGGGGCUCGGCCUGCAGGGACUCUGGCCUUGUCGGGGAACGCAUACUGGAAUUCUGGAGUGACCGGCCUGCCACAGGAACAGGACGGAGAGCGUCGCCCUGGAGCAGCAUCAGGGCCCAGAGUGUGACCGUGCAUUAAAGGACAGUCCCCCCUACGGGUGGCUCACUAGCAUCGCCCUGCCGUGGCUGCCUACAGGAAUCCUCCAGCCACUCGGGCCUCCUCGCCCCCCAUAACUGAGGACCCUGGAAGCUGUCCUGCACAUGAGGGCGGUGGGGGACCUGACCGAUGACCACUGAAUGGGGCCUUGAGUGAGUCAGACGUCCGCGUAUUAGCCUGCACACAGCUGCUUUCUAAUGGAAGACACAACGUUCCCCAAAGUUUGGGCAACUGUCUGACCUUCGUCUGCAGCAGGCCGCUUCCUGGGCACAAAGCCCACGCGAGGUCAGGACCACAGACAAACACUGGGACUGACCCAGGCAAACAGGAUGCCCAGCGCCCUGCAGGCGACAUCUGCUUCUGGAGUAGGAGCAUGUCUGUGCGUGUGCAGAAUCUUAUCUGUUGCUAUGGAUUCAAUUCCUCCCGUGCUUGACACAUUUCCCCCUUGUCAGCCACCAUACCCCCUGCUGCCCUCUCUUUGCUCCCAUCCUCGGGGCAGUCAAAUGACUCCCUCCUCCCUGUGAAGUCCUGGGUGCCUAUCUGGGCCAGUGUGCCCACGCCCCACAUCAUGGUGCUAAGGACAGCUGCCCCAGGCCACCUCCCUGGGCUAGGAAGGGAAAGGACAGUCUGCAGGCCUGGAGCCUGACAGACUGUCCUCGAAAUUCACACACCAGAGCCUCAACCCCCAGGACCUCAGAAGGUGACUGUAUUUGGAGAUGGGGUCUUUACAGAGGUGGUUACGGUAACGUGAGGUGACUAGGGUGGGCCCUGAUCCCAUAAGAGCGGUGUCCUUGCAAGAAGAGUUUAGGACACAGACACACAGAGGGACGGCCCUGUGAGGACACAGGGAGGACACAGCCAUCUGUAACACCAAGGAGGGAGGCCUCGGGAAGAACCAGCCUUGCCCACGCCUGGAGCUCAGACUCCCAGCCCCCAGGACCCAGAGAGAAUAAAUGUGUUGUUUCAGCCUCAGGCCU